ACAUUUCUAAUGUGUGUGAUUCACUAUUCACAAAUCACGUACGUGAAGCUGCUUAUCUGUUCUGUUAUUAUCCACAAGUUCAGGACGGGGGGCUUCAAAAAGAAAAAAAAAAGUUCAGGACGGCUACUGCUAAUCUCAACUCAACCUUCACCACAUCAGAUCUCUGUCCUCACCACAUCAGCUAUCUGAUCCAGGUAGUAACAAACUUGUUGGGACAAGACUCCUACUCAUCACUGUUGGGCUUUCUUUUCUUCUGUUGAUCCAGAGUAGUAGUAGUAGUACUGUUCUUGGGAGUUCCGUUCUGAUCAGACUUCUCAUUUGAAGUUUCAGACUCGGCACUGUCAGGCUUCUUCUCGAGCACUGCAAAGCUUUUUGUAGUGGCAUUAUCCAACAGAAGGUGAUCAGAGUG
rnacentral:lncRNA from 1 species